GGGCAGAACGUUUCCCUCAACCCUCUGCUCCAACUCAGGCCCCUCCCACUCGGGCAGAACGUUUACCACCUAGAAAACAUUUAUAGGUCAACAUUUCUCCAACUUCAUUCCUCAGCAUCAUUUGGCAGGGCUACCAUUAUGUUUACAUUAGGACUAAGGGGUGCACCGUUAAGUUGAAACAAUAUUAUGUUAGACAACAUCAGGUGCGUAGCUUAAUGUACUGUUAUGCUUCAGAGACAUCAUUCCUCUUAACACAGUGUUUCCUGCUGAUGGAUACCUAAGCCUGACCCUGUCUUGUCUUAUUAAAGCCAACGGUGUACAGCCUUUGAGUGAAAAUUACAUUUCAGUUAGGAUUUUAUACCCUUCUUACCAGAGGAGACUGCUGAGGGGAGGACGGGUCAUAACGAUGUCUGGAAUGGUAUCAAACACAUAUGGUGUUCAUGUGUUUGAUACCAAUCACUUCACUCCAUUCCAGUCAUUACACACUCCAUUCCAGUCAUUACACACUCCAUUGCAGUCAUUACAAACUCCAUUCCAGUCAUUACACACUCCAUUCCAGUCAUUACACACUCCAUUCCAGUCAUUACACACUCCCUUCCAGUCAUUACACACUCCAUUCCAGUCAUUACACUCCAUUCCAGUCAUUACACACACUCCAUUCCAGUCAUUACACACACUCCAUUCCAGUCAUUACACACUCCAUUCCAGUCAUUACACACUCCAUUCCAGCCAUUAUACGCCAUUCCAGCCAUUACACUCCAUUCCAGUCAUUACACACACUCCAUUCCAGUCAUUACACACACUCCAUUCCAGUCAUUACACACUCCAUUCCAGUCAUUACACACUCCAUUCCAGCCAUUACAUUACAGCCAUUAUCAUGAGCCGUCCUCCCCUCAGCAACCUUCUUGUUAUGUCUACUUUUUGGCCGGGAUUAAACAACUUUUUCAAUUGCGACCACUGUAGUCUUAUGUAAACCAGUUAGCCUAGAAAUUAGCCUGGCAAGCAUGUUCAUAUGUAAAUAUUUUAACUAAUCAUUGUGACGCUGAAUUUUGAAAGGAGGCUGUUAGUUUCAAUAAUACUUACUUGUAAUAGGCUACAUGGAACCAGCAAAGUAACACUGCAGACUGUGGGAAGACUGAUUCGAUUGCCUUGUUUUCUUUAAUGUCACAGUCAACCAUCACACAGUUAUACGAUAAAGACAGAAACAUCAGUGAAACAAAGUAAUACAUCCAAUCACUGAUUGGAGAAUGACUACAAUUAAGGUCAGGUAUCUGUCUUGGCCCCAUUCAUAUAGAUAGACAAAACAUGCUCUCAUUAAAACAGCCAACAAGGCAGCAUGCUGACUUAUCAGCUUCUGAGGCUGCUAUUGAAUCUGAUCAGCCUAUAAGGCACUUUGACUGUUAAUAUGCCUGCAUGGAGAUUUGCUCAUGAAACAUCCUACAAGGCAGCAUCUAAAUGUAUCCGCUUCUGAGGCUGCUAUUGAAUCUUAUCAAGGUCUGAGGCUUAAAGCUAAUCUGAUCAGCCUGUCAGGAAUGGAGCUCUGUAAAUGUAAAUAGUAUCCACAAAACAUAAAGUGUCCCCUAUAAUUAUAAGCAUAUCUGUUACUCAAGAUAACAACUAGCAUAGAUAACUAGCUAGCUACAGUAGCUAACAAGACUGCCUAGCUAACUAGCUAGGUAGCUCACAAGACUAGUUAGCCAAGUGAGCUUGUUUGCAGCCCUGCCAGCAAGCUAGCUAACGAACACAAAAAGAUUGCUAAUCUACAACAAAUCAGUCUUAGUAUCAUUAUAAAGUUGCCUUAAUUUUG
ensembl:lncRNA